GAGAACUGAUGAUUCGAAGAGUCGAAUGAAGGAGUAACGCCCGGAAAGGCUCUCCCUGAUCCUCCGAAUAGCGUCAAGAUAGGUAAGGAUCUUGAGGUUAUAAGCUCGGUGAAGUCGGCUGAAUGCUGCCGUAACAAGUCAAGUUGACGAAAGCUUUCCAGAGGUGGAAGGUGCAGCAAAUAAGCCGGGGGUCUAUAAA
rnacentral:ncRNA from 1 species